rnacentral:rRNA from 1 species
AGCGAACGCUGGCGGCAGGCUUAACACAUGCAAGUCGAGCGGGCAUCCUUGUGGUGUCAGCGGCAGACGGGUGAGUAACGCGUGGGAACGUGCCCUUCGGUUCGGAAUAACUCAGGUAAACUUGAGCUAAUACCGGAUACGUGCGAGAGCAGAAAGGUUUAUCUGCCGAAGGAUCGGCCCGCGUCUGAUUAGCUAGUUGGUGGGGUUAUGGCUCACCAAGGCGACGAUCAGUAGCUGGUCUGAGAGGAUGAUCAGCCACACUGGGACUGAGACACGGCCCAGACUCCUACGGGAGGCAGCAGUGGGGAAUAUUGGACAAUGGGGCAACCCUGAUCCAGCCAUGCCGCGUGAGUGAUGACGGCCUUAGGGUUGUAAAGCUCUUUUCUCCGGGACGAUAAUGACGGUACCGGAGGAAUAAGCCCCGGCUAACUUCGUG